rnacentral:sRNA from 1 species
UCUUAGCCCCGAUUGAAACGGUAUCCUUUUUCUUUUGAAAAAAAAGAAAAAGAUAUAGUGGAAAGCGGGAACUCUU